rnacentral:rRNA from 1 species
CGGUCUGAGGAGUAAUCUGAGGAUGUUCGUAGCGGCGGACGGGUGAGUAACGCGUGAGCAACCUGUCCUUGUCUGGGGGAGUAAGAAGCCGAAAGGCUUUCUAAUACGCAUGAGACCACGGAUCACAUGGUUCUGGGGUCAAAGGAGAAAUUCGGGCAAGGGUGGGCUCGCGUCUGAUUAGCUAGUUGGUGGGGUAACGGCUCACCAAGGCAACGAUCAGUAGCCGACCUGAGAGGGUGAUCGGCCACAUUGGAACUGAGAGACGGUCCAAACUCCUACGGGAGGCAGCAGUGGGGAAUAUUGGGCAAUGGGCGAAAAAGCCUGACCCAGCAACGCCGCGUGAAGGAAGAAGGUUUUCGGAUCGUAAACUUCUAUCCUAGGUGAAGAUAAUGACGGUAGCCUAGAAGGAAGCCCCGGCUAACUACGUGCCAGCCGCGGC